UUUUGGAGGUUUAAUUUAGUGCACAUGAAUCGGUGGGGUAUGAAACGCCUUGCUCUGUUUUGGAAUCGCGAGACCCCACAGCAGCGCGAAGAUUGUCCCUCUGGUUUCUCCGUAGGUGUGUGUCAUCAUCAGCAUGGCGAGCUCCAGUGGUGUAGUGAUGGAGGGGGACUUCAUGAGACAUGCUGAAUAUACACCGAAAUCUACCGGGCAGAGUGAGACAGAUAUUGACAAACGCUUUGGUGGCUGUCUGAUGGCAGUGGGGCUGGGAGUUGCAGCGGCAGGGUUUGCAGGUCGAUAUGCAUUCCACUUAUGGAGGCCUCUGAGUCAGGUGAUUACUGAAGCUGCUAAGAAUUUACCCUCUGCGUCAUUUUCUGCGUAUUACAAAGGUGGAUUUGAGCAGAAGAUGACCAGACGGGAAGCCAGCCUUAUUCUCGGGAUCAGUCCGACCAGCAGCAAGACAAAGGUACGGGAAGCCCACAGAAGGAUCAUGGUCCUAAAUCAUCCAGAUAAAGGUGGAUCCCCGUAUUUGGCAGCAAAGAUCAAUGAAGCAAAAGAUCUUCUUGACUCUGGCCCUCGGCACUGACCCAGCUGCCCGCGCUACCCCAACAGAGAGUUACAUCUACUUCAGAGCCGCCAACUCACCCAUGAGCCUCCACAAGUCAUUGUUCUCCUCCAUGUUUUUCUGCCAUAAAUCAGCUGACUCUCUCCGUUCUAUCUGUCACUGUUCCCCACCACCACUUUAAUGCAAGUUGGCAAAGGUUGAUCCUUCACGUUAAAGGAUCUUCACGCUGUCCAUGUGAAAAAUCUCGCAGUAAUCUUUAUUUAUUGAGGUGACUUGUAUAAUGUUUAACGUCUGCUGAAAAAUGGUGGAUUUAUAAUUUCCAGUGGUCUAAAAAUCCUAACCCGCAGGGACCAGACAAUAUGCCUGUCUGGUCUGCACAUCUGACGGAUCCACGCAGGAACAGAGAGGCUGGGAUUCGACAGAGGGACGUUCUGUACGCCAUGACUUGGACUGCUGAUUUGCCGUUUGUCAGACCGAGAUUAAUGCCAAGGACAGGACACUGCAACACAAGCUGCACAAACCAGUCACACAUUACUGCAAAAGGAAUAAAAGGCAAGCAACAGUGAAAGAAAUUGCUUCUAGGAUGCAUUUUAUAUUUCAUUUCCUUGAGAGCAAUUUCAAGCUACAUUCAGAAUAGAAUAUUAGCUUGUCCCUACUGCCUACUCUAAUUUAAAAAUAGCUAGUAAUGUGAAGGCAUUAAUCCACCAUAAACAUUUCAAACAGUGGUAUGCUUUGUUAUUGUCAUAUGACCUCAUUAUUUUAGAUGUGAGCGAUUUCCAGUCAUCAUAGACGACUAUAGAUAUGGUUAUAAUGAAUUUUUAAUGAGCAUAGUUACAGUGUAAUUAUACAUUUAAGUACUGUGUAAUAUUACUCAAAUAGAUGUACUUACUAUAUGGUCAGGGUUAGGAUUAAGGUGUUACUUGCAUGUAAUUAUGCAUAAUUUAUUGUUAUUAUAAUAGUAAGUACAUGUAACGUGUAACAAGGAUGGCUUAAAAUAAAGUGUUACCAAAAAACCUACUUGAA